GUGGGCGUAGCUCAGUUGGUUAGAGUACCGGAUUGUGAUUCCGGUUGUCGUGGGUUCGAAUCCCAUCGUCCACCCCA
rnacentral:tRNA from 4 species